rnacentral:rRNA from 1 species
GAUGAACGCUGGCGGCGUGCCUAACACAUGCAAGUCGAGCGAUCUUCUUCGGAAGAGAGCGGCGGACGGGUGAGUAACGCGUGGGUAACCUGCCUCAUACACAUGGAUAACAUACCGAAAGGUAUGCUAAUACAAGAUGAUAUAAGAGAUUCGCAUGGAUUUCUUAUCAAAGCUUUUGCGGUAUGAGAUGGACCCGCGUCUGAUUAGCUAGUUGGUAAGGUAACGGCUUACCAAGGCGACGAUCAGUAGCCGACCUGAGAGGGUGAUCGGCCACAUUGGAACUGAGACACGGUCCAAACACCUACGGGUGGCAG